AUGCCGAUGAAAGCCAUGUUUGUGAUGAAGAAUGACACCCUGGUGCAGGACAUCUUCCAUUUUGAGUAGAAGAAAAAUGAGUCAGUUAUGGUACUGGGACAUAUUAUAGGAUUGACUGAGGGCUAGCAUGGAUUCCACAUUCAUCAGUUUGAAGACAACAUGCAAGACGGUAUCAAUGCAGGUCCUUCCUUUAAUCCUCUAUCCAAAAAACACAGUGGGCCAAAGAUCUAGGAAAGUCAUGUUGGAGACCUGGGUAAUGUAAUUGAUGGCAAUGAUUGUGUGGCUGAUGUUUUGAUUGAAGAUUCUCUGAUCUCACUCUCAGGAGACCAUUCCAUCAUUGGUCGCACAAUGGUGGUCCAUGAAAAACCAGAUAACUUGGGCAAAGGUGGAAAUGAAGAAAGUACAAAAACUGGAAAUGCUGGAAGCUGUUUGGCUUGUGGUGUCUUUGGGAUAGCUCAAUAAACAUUCCCUAGGAUAUGAUCUGAAUCCCAGUGACUCAUCUGCUAAUCCUGCUAGCUAUAGAAAUGUAAGUUGAUAAACAUUAAACAUUGUAAUCUUACAGUG